UCAAGGGCAUCUGGUGGAUGCCUUGGCGUCGAGAGGCGAUGAAGGACGUGGCACGCUGCGAUAAGUCUGGGGAAGGUGCGAGCAACCGUUGAUCCCAGAAUCUCCGAAUGGGGAAACCCACCGCACGUGUGCGGUAUCCGUCACUGAAUCCAUAGGUGGCGGAAGCGAACCCGGGGAACUGAAACAUCUAAGUACCCGGAGGAAAGGACAUCAACCGAGACUCCGUUAGUAGUGGCGAGCGAACGCGGAUCAGGCCAGUGGCCUGUUGGAACGAACCGGAAGCGCAUGGAAUGGCGCGCCAUAGCGGGUGACAGCCCCGUACGGGUAGAGCUUCCAACAGGUCCUCGAGUAGGGCGGGGCACGUGAAACCCUGUCCGAACAUGGGGGGACCACCCUCCAAGCCUAAGUACUCCUCGACGACCGAUAGUGAACCAGUACCGUGAGGGAAAGGUGAAAAGCACCCCGACAAGGGGGGUGAAACAGAACCUGAAACCGGAUGCCUACAAGCAGUCGGAGCCUGACCAUGUUCUUCGGGACAUGGGGUGGGUGACGGCGUACCUUUUGUAUAAUGGGUCAGCGAGUUAUCGUCGCCAGCAAGCUUAAGCCGAUAGGCGAAGGCGCAGCGAAAGCGAGUCUGAACAGGGCGCUUUAGUUGGCGGCGGUAGACCCGAAACCGGGGUGAUCUAGCCAUGGGCAGGUUGAAGACAGGGUGACACCUGUUGGAGGACCGAACUCACGUCUGUUGAAAAAGACGGAGAUGACCUGUGGUUAGGGGUGAAAGGCCAAUCAAACCCGGAGAUAGCUGGUUCUCCGCGAAAGCUAUUGAGGUAGCGCGUCACGUGAUUGCCUUCGGGGGUAGAGCACUGGAUGGGCUAGGGGGGAGCAAUCCUUACCAAACCUAACCAAACUCCGAAUACCGAAGUGUCCAGCGUGGCAGACAGGCGGCGGGUGCUAAGGUCCGUCGCCAAGAGGGAAACAGCCCAGAUCGCCGGCUAAGGUCCCCAAGUCGUGGCUAAGUGGAAAAGGAUGUGGGAAGGCCACAACAACCAGGAGGUUGGCUUAGAAGCAGCCAUCCUUUAAAGAAAGCGUAACAGCUCACUGGUCUAAUAGCCGUCCUGCGCCGAAAAUGUAACGGGGCUCAAGCCACGCACCGAAGCCGCGGGCUCGUACUUGUACGAGCGGUAGCGGAGCGUUCCCUAGGCCUGUGAAGGUCGAUCGUGAGGUCGGCUGGAGGUAUGGGAAGUGCGAAUGCUGACAUGAGUAGCGACAAGGAGUGUGAGAGACACUCCCGCCGAAAGUCCAAGGGUUCCUGCGCAAGGCUAAUCCGCGCAGGGUGAGCCGGCCCCUAAGGCGAGGCCGAAAGGCGUAGUCGAUGGGAACGGGGUGAACAUUCCCCGGCCUGUGGGUAGUGACGGCGGCCGUAAGUUGUACCUCCUUAACGGAUUGGAGGUGCCGCGAAGGACGUCCAGGAAACAGCUCCCACGUAUAGACCGUACCCGAAACCGACACAGGUGGACUGGUUGAGCAUACCGAGGCGUUUGAGAGAACGGUAUCGAAGGAACUCGGCAAAUUGCCCUCGUAACUUCGGGAGAAGAGGGCCCCGUUGGCAGGCAACUGUUGGCGGGGGGCACAAGCCAGGGGGUGGCGACUGUUUACUAAAAACACAGGGCUCUGCGAACUCGAAAGAGGACGUAUAGGGUCUGACGCCUGCCCGGUGCCGGAAGGUUAAGAGGAGGGGUGAGAGCUCCGAAUCGAAGCCCCGGUAAACGGCGGCCGUAACUAUAACGGUCCUAAGGUAGCGAAAUUCCUUGUCGGGUAAGUUCCGACCUGCACGAAUGGCGUAACGACUUCCCCACUGUCUCCGAUACCGGCUCAGCGAAAUUGAAUUCCCCGUGAAGAUGCGGGGUACCCGCGGUCAGACGGAAAGACCCCGUGCACCUUUACUGCAGCUUUGCGCUGGCAUUAGGCGAAACAUGUGUAGGAUAGGUGGGAGCCUUUGAAGUUCCGGCGCCAGCCGGGAUGGAGGCGUCCUUGAAAUACCACCCUUGGUUCGCUUGAUGUCUAACCCAGGUCCGUGAUCCGGAUCGGGGACACCGCAUGGUGGGCAGUUUGACUGGGGCGGUCGCCUCCCAAAGUGUAACGGAGGCGCGCGAAGGUAGGCUCAGGCUGGUCGGAAACCAGCCGUUGCGUGCAAGGGCACAAGCCUGCUUGACUGCGAGAGCGACGGCUCGAGCAGAGACGAAAGUCGGCCCUAGUGAUCCGGUGGUCCCGCGUGGAAGGGCCAUCGCUCAACGGAUAAAAGGUACGCCGGGGAUAACAGGCUAAUCACUCCCAAGAGUCCCCAUCGACGGAGUGGUUUGGCACCUCGAUGUCGGCUCAUCACAUCCUGGGGCUGAAGCAGGUCCCAAGGGUUCGGCUGUUCGCCGAUUAAAGUGGUACGUGAGCUGGGUUUAGAACGUCGUGAGACAGUUCGGUCCCUAUCUGCCGUGGGUGUUGGAGACGUGAAAGGAUCCGUCCUUAGUACGAGAGGACCGGGAUGGACAGACCUCUGGUGGGCCGGUCGUGGCGCCAGCCGCGCAGCCGGGUAGCUAAGUCUGGACGGGAUAACCGCUGAAAGCAUCUAAGCGGGAAACCCACCUUGAAACAACGUCUCCCUAUCAGGGCCGUGGCAGACCACCACGUCGAUAGGUCGGAAGUGGAAGUGCAGCAAUGCAUGCAGCUUACCGAUACUAAUCGCCCGAUCGGCCUCAUCU
rnacentral:rRNA from 1 species